UCGGAGUGCUGGGUGAAUAUGAUACAAGUACAAUGUGUGAGAUUCUCAAAGAAUGAAAGUAUGCUAAAAAAUGCCUCUCUACUAAUGGUCACUGUGAGUGCUGGAAAUCCUAGAGACCCAGCAACCUGGCAUUCACCAAGCAAUACUUGCAGCGCAUACAGAGCCUUGGAAGAAGUGGGCUGAGUAGAGUAGGGAGGAAGCCUGUCCCCAAGCAGGAGGUCUAGAUGCAACUCGAGGAAUGCUGUACACCUGGGAGAUGAGCUGCAUCCACCAGCCAUGAUGUCAAGUGCGAAGCAGGAUCAUUGUUCUCAAGGGAAGAGAUAACCUCUUCCCCGGGUUACUGUUUUGGAUUCCCAAAGACAUUUCUACUUCAGUUUGUUUGCAUGUACCCAUAUGAGUACUAUUGUUCUCCAGCAGGGCAGAGACUGGCUACAACGACAACUCAAUCGAUUCCGACAACUUCCUGAAAGUUAAUUGAUCAGCGAUAUUGUCUAAGUGGAGACACCAUAACUACCUAAGAUAUGUCCAC
rnacentral:lncRNA from 1 species